UACAGAGGGUGCAAGCGUUGUUCGGAAUUAUUGGGCGUAAAGGGCGCGUAGGCGGUGCCACAAGUCACCUGUGAAAUCUCCGGGCUUAACUCGGAGCCUGCAGGCGAAACUGCUGUGCUUGAGUGUGGGAGAGGCGCGUGGAAUUGCAGGUGUAGCGGUGAAAUGCGUAGAUAUCUGCAGGAACACCCGUGGCGAAAGCGGCGCGCUGGACCACUACUGACGCUGAGGAACGAAAGCUAGGGGAGCAAACAGG
rnacentral:rRNA from 1 species